rnacentral:rRNA from 1 species
CUCGGAUCAGGUAGGGAUACCCGCUNACUUAAGCAUAUCAAUAAGCGGAGGAAAAGAAACCAACAGGGAUUGCCUCAGUAACGGCGAGUGAAGCGGCAACAGCUCAAAUUUGAAAUCUGGCUCUCGGGCCCGAGUUGUAAUUUGUAGAAGAUGUUUCGGGUGUGGCUCCGGUCUAAGUUCCUUGGAACAGGACGUCAUAGAGGGUGAGAAUCCCGUAUGUGACUGGUUGCCUUCGCUCAUGUGAAGCUCUUUCGACGAGUCGAGUUGUUUGGGAAUGCAGCUCAAAAUGGGUGGUAAAUUUCAUCUAAAGCUAAAUAUUGGCCAGAGACCGAUAGCGCACAAGUAGAGUGAUCGAAAGAUGAAAAGCACUUUGGAAAGAGAGUUAAAAGUGUGUGAAAUUGUUAAAAGGGAAGCGAUAGACAUCAGUGCAAUGCCAGUCGACCCGUGGUGGAUGCGUGCGUUUGUUGAGCGGUUAAAGGCCAACGGCGUGCGAGUCCCCUAGUGUCGGCGGCAUGGUCAGCAUCAGUUUGUGGUGCGGGAUAGCAGGUGGGGAAGGUGCAUGCUGGCAACGGCAUGUUUAUAGCCCCACUGAGAGCCGUGCCGUGGACUGAGGAAAGCAGUGGGCCCUUGGGGCGUGCCUCCCGAAUGAGAGGGUGUGGUGCAGCGACUGCAGCAAUGCAUACGAUGUGCCGCACUGCUUCUUUGAUGGCAGGCCACCAGCCUACUAAGGAUGCUGACGAAAUGGUGCCUACCGACC